rnacentral:lncRNA from 1 species
CAUCUCCGCUGCCGCCGCCGCUCGCCCCGCCGCUGCGGAUCCCGAGGAGGAGCCCGUGGGUCACCGCCGCCCCGCGACUAGCCCCGUAGUACAGCCAGAGAGCAUGCGCAGCUACCCCAGCGCCCUAGGGAACCCCCGGGCCAGCCUGGCGCUACCUGCGAUCAACAGGUCCCGCCGCCACCGCACCCCCCCCUCCCUACACAGAGCCUCGGCCCCACCCCGCUCCGGCCCAGCGCCCCGCCCCCUUCGCCAGCCUCUUGCUCCGGCUGAGGUUGCGUGAGAUUUCGCCCGGGACAGCUCCCGCGCCGAGAGGAUUGAGUUCUCGCGAGGUCUGGGCGUUGGCGUCAAUAAAGAGCGCGAACGCAGGUCGCUUGACGUGUGUUGAGCGGCUGAUGGUUGGUUGGUGCUCUUCGGCUCUGAAGGAGAGGGAAGGAGUCGGGAGAAGAGGCGUGAAAGAACGGGAUUCUCUAAUCCUUUUGGAUAAUGUGAUACUGUUGUAUCUGAAGAGUGAAGAGGAAGGUCUUACAGGUGUCUAAACGAGAUCCUUUCUACUGUAGUCUGAGUAUACAGGCUGGGGUCCGGGAUGAUGGAGAAUGCCUGUUAAUUGUGUGAUAGAGAGGCAAAAGCACCGGCUUUGGUGUCACCGGACUUGUAUUCAGAUCCUGGCAAUGUCGCUUACUUGUAUGAACUUAACCUUUCUGGGCCUCAGUUUCCGCAUUUGUCAAAUGAAGGCGUUGGAUUAGGUGACCUCCUUAGGGUCUUUCAGUUUUAAAUCUAUGCUCCCAUGGUAUGCACUGCAAUCUUACCUGUUUUUGAAGACAGCUUCCCCCCACUUCUUCCAAUGAAUUAUCACUGUCAAAAGGGUCACUUCUUCAAGCGGAUUUGUAAUGGCUUUAACUUAAAAAAUUAGAACAUCCCAGUUCUUAUAUCGCUGUGUAUUUUAUCUUCUUUAUUUUUUAAAAAUCCCUUCUAUCCCCAGGAGUAUUUAUUCAGCAUCUUUCCAUCCUCACCUGAGUGUUUUUCCAAGGUUACCCCUCCCUAGAAUUCCCUCUUUGGUCUGAUGUCCCCUGUUACUCUGCUAUUCACACAAUUGAUCUCAUUUCUUCUGAGAAACCUUUCUUAUCAAGAAGGAAAAUUGAGCUGCUAUACCACUCCUCAGAUUUGUUUUUCAGUCAACACAUUAGGUCUGGGGUAGGGAGCCUGGCCUCAAGGGGAAGGUUUCCCCACCCCUGCUUUAGGUCCUUCAAUUAAUAUAAAUCCUAAUUUUUGUAUAUUCAGUGUGCAUUGAAGUGUAUUCCUGUAGAUAGUAUGGCAUGUUUAAAUCUUGAACCAUCUUUUUUUUCUUCGUUAGCUUUCUCCUACCCCUCUCUGCCCACCCCACACGCCUCCCCACAUAAUCCAGCACUGCUAGCCGCCUUCUAGCACCUAGUGUGCUCUGGGAAUAUAGACUUAUUUUAAUAUUAGCCUAAGGAAAAGUACUGUCAUUUACAUAACUUAUUAACUCCUACAUUCCCAGAAAAGCUUUGCCUAACUAGUGAAUAAAAUUGUGAAUAUAAUGAGAUUAUUCUGUUUG